rnacentral:rRNA from 1 species
GACGAACGCUGGCGGCGUGCUUAACACAUGCAAGUCGAACGGAAAGGCCUGCUUUCCCUUGUGGAUUGCGGGUACUCGAGUGGCUAACGGGUGAGUAACACGUGAGUGAUCUGCCCCCAACUUGGGUAUAAGCCUGGGAAACUGGGUCUAAUUACCUAUAGGACUGCAGGGUGGUGCCUGUGGUGGAAAACGAUUUUCUAGUGGUUGGGGAUGAGCCCGCGGCCUAUCUGCUUGUUGGUGGGGUAAUGUCCUACCAAGGCGGCGACGGGUAGCCGGCGUGGGAGGGUGGACGGCCAAAUUGGGACUCGGACAAGGCCCAGACGGCUGCGGGAGGCAGGGGUGGGGAAGAUUGGGCAAUGGGCGGAAGCCUGAUGCAGCGACGCAGCGUGGGGGAUGACGGCCUUCGGGUUGUAUACUACUUGCGAACGAGAGGAAGCCACCUGGUUGGAAGGGUGGUGACGGUAGUGGUAGAAGAAGCACCGGCUAACUACGUG